UAAAACUCUAAGUCAUGCUAUAGCUUUUUACACAGCCGACUGAAUUUGUGGCAUUUGUUUGCCUAUAAAACUAGCUGCCAGCAGGAUACAUGCUCCAAACCAAGUUCAAGUCCACAACAUAAAACUCUAACUCACUAUUACAACCAUGCUCCAAGUCAUAUCACAGCAGCACUCAACCCACUUAGAAGCCAAGAGGUACACACACUCAGGAUGAACCGUCUUCAAACAACAUUUAAUUACUUAGUCAUCCGAAAAACCCAGGCCUGAUUUAAAGUCCUAUCCCAGCUAAAACUAACCAUCUACAUUCAUCAAUGGUUGCCGCAGAGAGCAAAAUUGCUUCAUGGGUAUGGGGUUUUCUUUUGGGGUGAUGAAAAUGUUUUGGAACUAGGCAGAGGUGAUGGUUGCACAAUACUGUGAUUGUGUUAAAUGUCACUGAAUUGUUCCCUUUUAAAUUAUUAACUUUGUUGUGUGAAUUUCACCUCAAUAUUUUUUUUUUAAUCUGUAUAUGUAGAUUCUGAAAGAGUAGAUUCUGGCAGGAGUAGGCAACUCUCACUCCUCCCCUGACUUACUGCAAUCUCGCACACACACAAUUAAAUAAAUAGGUACUAUAAAAUGAGAUGGUCCCCAGACUAGGAAAAGGCUCACAUAUUCAUUCAACAAACACUGUUUGAGAAUCUACUCUGCCCAGGCAAUGAGGAUGCAGUCCUGACACGCCCCAGGAACGGGUGUCAGGUUACAGAAUUGUGACUGAACAAAGGAUGCAGCAGGGAGUCAGGACGUGGUGCCCAGGACAGGUGUGCCAUGAUCCAGUGUGCCACAUCUGGCUUUGGAUGACAUGCUGACUGCAGCGGGAGAGUGGAAGGGUGGGGUGAAGUAAAGGGGAUGAUGACGGGAACAGAGGCGGGCAGACCCUUUAUGAGGCAACUGCCAGACAAGAAGGGACAGUGGCCUGAGCCAAGGUUUUAACAGUGCUCUGGGAAAGGUAGUCUGGUUCAAGAGAGAGCUAGGACAUGGCCUUAAUACUGCCUGGGGACUGCCCAGACAGGAGCCGUAGCACCACAGCACUGCAGCUUUGCAGGGCGAGUGCAGGGGGAGACACCACCACAGUACGAUAGGCAACAUCCCAGGCCUGGACUGGAUUUUGCGGGCAGAGGGGUAAAGCAUCUGGGCUGCUGUCCAGUUCACUCACCCAGGUGGCCGGUGGAUGGAGGUGCUGGUCCCAAAGAGAUUUGUGUAGGGAGAGACAGAGUGACAAACUGGUACAACAGAAGUUUGUAAAGCGAUCCCUGGGGACCUCAGAGCCCACCUUCCCUGGAAGUCUCAUGCUCCAGAGCUGAGCCACUGCCUCUCUCCAAGCCAUCCUCACCCCUAAGAGAGGAAAAUGCGCCCCUUCUUCCCAGGCCCCUGCUCCAUCAGCGCUCCAACUGAGAAUGGGAACAAACCUAGAAGUAAUCCUGAGACGGUCAAAUUGUAUAGGAAGCAGGAGUGACAGGAGUGAUAGCCCAGGAGUCCCACACUGAGCAUCAUUAUGACAGCAAUGCCAAUUUAAGCUGACAGCUGGAUGAGCCUGUGUUACUCAUAUAGAAGAGUCAGGGGCCCAGGGGAAUCAAAGAUGAGGUCAUCAAGAGGACGUGACCACCAGCUGACCCUAGAGCUGGACCUGGGCAAUUGGAGGCUCCCCACCCCCAUCCUUGGAAUGUACAUUCUGCCCACUUCCCAGAGUGCGAGCUGUUCCAAGGACACAGCUUUGAGAGAGCACAUCCAACAGGGGCCAUCUGGAUGGGAUACAUGACUGAACCCUGUUGAGGCCUCUGUAUAAACUUUAAGAUUCUGGAGGGGAGGUGUGGAGAUCCACUCCUCUUGAGGCCACCCAAGAAAAAAGCCUUGCAUGUAAGUUCCCUUGCUUGUUAAACCUGCCACCUACCAAUCUGGAGUGUCUGCCUCUUUCUUUGGUCUCUCCCUGUCCUGCAUGUUUCUGAACUAACACCAUUAUAUGGUUUCUUCACCCACCCCUCCCCAUGUCUGCCAAAGUCACUUCUCUUACAAGAAGAAAAGACAAGAGAAGUGAAGGGAAAGAAAGGGAAGAAAGGAGAGGGAAGGAAAGGAGAGGAAGUAGAGGGACAUGACAGGAAAAAGUAAAGGAAGGAGAGGGCCAUCUGUCUCCCUGGCUUCAUCCUUACGUGGGCACAGCUCUGAGAUGCUCACCACCCCCUAUAGCACACCCAUCCAGCCACUGCCCUGGGGUCUUAGAUCUCUUCCAGGAGGACGUCUCACCUCUUCUUUAUAAAGCUGUUGGCCACCCCUCCCCCACCUUGGUGCCACCCAAACCUCUCCCUCCUGGGUUAUUUGUUCUUCAUAUACUUUCUUAUGCCUGGACCAGGCCUCUUUCUCUGACUUCCUUCCAAUUUGGCACAAGUGUAAAUUUACAGGAAGAAGAAAACCCACCUGUAGUAAUACAAAAUGGGGGAGGGAGGGGAACCAAUUGUUUUCUGAUCAAUUCCAUAACCAUCCAAUGCAAAAAUAACCUUUAUCUUCUAAAUACUUUACUGUAUUUUCUAAAUUUCCUAAUGUGAGCAUGGAUUACUUUUAUAAUCAGAGAAGGGCUUUUUUAUGUAAGUCUAAUAAAACAUAUGACUUUUUGAAAAGUUUCUCAAGAGCCAAAAAUGUUUUCAGCUAUUUAUAUGCUUACAUUUGUUUGUAAUUAAGCUGACCAUAUAUCAGCCAAACCAGGACUCUUAUGAGCAUAAAGGGGAACUGUAACAAGAAGUAUGGACAACAGGCAU